GGAUAACCUGCCCUUGGGUCCGGCAUAACCCCGGGAAACUGGGGAUAAUACCGGAUAACGCACAUAUGCUGGAAUGCUUUAUGCGUAAAACGGAUUCGUCUGCCCAAGGAUGGGUCUGCGGCCUAUCAGGUAGUAGUGGGUGUAAUGUACCUACUAGCCGACGACGGGUACGGGUUGUGAGAGCAAGAGCCCGGAGAUGGAUUCUGAGACAUGAAUCCAGGCCCUACGGGGCGCAGCAGGCGCGAAAACUUUACAAUGCGGGAAACCGUGAUAAGGGGACACCGAGUGCCAGCAUCAUAUGCUGGCUGUCCAGAUGUGUAAAAUACAUCUGUUAGCAAGGGCCGGGCAAGACCGGUGCCAGCCGCCGCGGUAACACCGGCGGCCCGAGUGGUGAUCGUGAUUAUUGGGUCUAAAGGGUCCGUAGCCGGUUUGGUCAGUCCUCCGGGAAAUCUGAUAGCUCAACUAUUAGGCUUUCGGGGGAUACUGCCAGACUUGGAACCGGGAGAGGUAAGAGGUACUACAGGGGUAGGAGUGAAAUCUUGUAAUCCCUGUGGGACCACCUGUGGCGAAGGCGUCUUACCAGAACGGGUUCGACGGUGAGGGGCGAAAGCUGGGGGCACGAACCGGAUUAGAUACCCGGGUAGUCCCAGCCGUAAACGAUGCUCGCUAGGUGUCAGACAUGGCGCGACCGUGUCUGGUGCCGCAGGGAAGCCGUGAAGCGAGCCACCUGGGAAGUACGGCCGCAAGGCUGAAACUUAA
rnacentral:rRNA from 1 species